rnacentral:misc_RNA from 1 species
AUGGUAAAAGCACUUUGUGCAUCUGCAUGGACAUAAGGUUUAAUAUCAAGAAACCAAUUCUUAAAAUUCACAUCAUUACAAAAAGACUGAAAAUAAUAUUUUCAUUCAUAAACAAUUUGCAACUUCUACUAACCAGUUCCUCCACCAAAACUUAGGAGCACAAGAAAAUGCGUGAUAUAUAAUGUAAACAAAAAAGAAAAAUUAAUUUCAAGGAGAACAGAAAAAUAAAACUGGUCCCUUACGAUACCAAAAUACGACAAAAAAAUUCUGGCAAAAAAUGAGUGAAAAAGGAAAAUAGAAGUGCAAAAGGAAAAUAGAAGUGCAAAAAGAAGAGCUAACCUCCCG